UGACUCUCCCAUCUCACUCCCAUAUGUUCAGCCUCACCAAGGAAAAGAGGAAAGAAAGAAAUAACAAACCCUAGUUAGCAAAAAUUCAAGGGAAAAUUGGUGGAUUUCAAGGAAUUAAGCAAGUAAAGGUAAAAUUUCUUGAUUUUAGCUUGUGAUCUACCUUUCCUAUGCAUUCUUUUUCAUUUUUCAUAGUUGAGAAUCAAGUUUGCAUGAAGAUACCUUUGCUGGCCGGACAUGGGGGGAGGGAUUUUGAUCUUGGAUUUAGCUAGAUUUCAUAUUAUUCUAGUGUUUUUAGUUGUUUGGUGAUGUUUGGCAUGGAAAACAAGCAAGAAAUUUCAUGCCCUUCACCCACACCCAUUGGCUGAAUUUUUCAAGAGAGAAAUUGGAAAAUGGACUUUGAUGAAUUUCAUGCUAUUUAGGUAUUUUUAGUUGUUUUAUGAUGUAAAGUGUAAAAAAAUCAAGUAUGAAAAAUCAUAGUGUUUAUGCACCCACCAUGGCCGAAUUUCAUUAGGAACCUAGUGAUGAUGAUUCUUGUGUUAUUUAGUUAGAAUUUAAUGAAUGGAGGUGAUGGAAAUCGAAAAUGGUAAUUUUAAAGUAUAGUUCUUUUAGUGAAUAAGUUGAAUAACAAUGAGAAAGUCAAGCUCAUUGAGGUGCUUUGGUGUAUUUUGGGACAUUGGAAGUGUGAUGAAUAUAAUUGGAGUCAAUUUGGAUGUUUUGGUUAAAUCAAAGGUGGAGAGUUCGAUUUAGGUCGAAAAUCGAUCCAUUCUGAUCACAAUUGAACCAACAUGUAACACCAUCUUUAAGUGACUAACCAAACAACCUCAUGCAUUCAUAUAGAGCCUGAAAUAGAUUUAUAAUGACAUGACACAAUAUAUUGAAUUAUUUGUCGUGUAUUGUGUAUAGGUGGUGAGUCUUCUAACAAGGGUAAAGACAUUGUGCCAGAGGACCAAGAAUAGGAGUAUUUCGAACUCCCGAUAUCGUGAGUAACCUUAUUAUCGUCUUAAUUAUCUAAAGUAGUUUUUAUUCGUUUUUGUGAUUUUAUAGAAAAAUGAGUUUAAAUGGUAAAUCCUUAUGUUUAAUACGUAAAAUGUGAUUAAAUGAAAUGAGUUUUAUAAAUCAUUUUGAAAUUGAAUGAUGAUUUUAGAAAUUGAGUAAUUGGAGACGGUUUGAUUGUAUUGUAAAUUUAUUGUUUGAAUUGAAUGGCUUAUGGUGAUAUUGGCAUGAAUGGCUGAAUUGGAAAUUGUGUUGAAUAUAUGAACUGUUUUGCUUUGCCUUGACAGGCUGGUAAUAUUAUAUUAGCCAUGUUAUGCUGCCGAAAUUUUAUUGAUUUGGUGGGAUAUCGAUUAGCUUACUGCAGUGGGCGGGUUUCUGUGGACCAACCUAUUAGAGGGGCACAGUAAAUCUCGUUAUAUUUUACCUCGGUACAAGAGGCGCAGAGGGUAACUCCUGAGGUAAAGCUUUAGAGUUCACUACACGCUAAACCACCACGUGAGGGUGAACUCAGCCAACACCAAGGAACGGUUAUGCUUUUAAACAUAAAAAUGUGUUUUAUGCGUAUAUGAACUUUUCUUUAACAGCCUUGGCGAACUCGGUUGGAUGCCCCGGCCAAGGUAUCCCCAAGAAUAAGUUUUGGCAUGAGUCAAAUUUUUAAGAAAUUUAUAAGCUUAUUUAUUUUGCUUUUAUACUACAAAAAUUAUUUACGGAUAUCUCUAUAAAUAUUGUUUCAUAAGAAAAUGAACUAUUUUAUUUAAUAUUUUUAUUUUAUUGUAAUAGCUAUCAUUUCACUUUAAAUGAAUGUUUUAGACAUCUAAACUUAUGUUUUGUUAUGAAAUAUGUAUCUUUCACUCGUAUACUACGUUUUUAGAUGGUUUCAAAAUUUUUAACAAAAAAUGACCAAAAUACCCCUGUGAGAUGAAAAUUAUUUUUUAUUGUUUUGGUUUGGAAAUAGCUUAUAAUCUUUUAAAAUAUGAUAUUAGCAACUGUUGCUCGCAAAGGAGGUGAGAAAAUUGAUAUUAAAACCUUGCAGGGUUUCGGUUGGCAUUCCGAGUAAUAAAUGUCUAUUGGGACAUCGCAGCAGUUGUCACGGGCUCGAGGAGAGUACCGGGUCGUGACAAAAAGUCUGUAAUUUUAUUACUUGAUACCGAAGUCAAAAUAACUUAAUUUGGAUUUUAUAAAUUACAUAUAAAAAUAAAAAAAUGAAAUAAACCCAAAGCAACCAAAAAAUCCAAUUUAAAGAUACUAGGUAUCUAAUAUAAUAACUCUCCUUCCUAUAAUACAAUUAAAAGAACCUAAAACCAUUUUUGAUUUACAAUCACCAAUUUUCACUAAUGCAGCUAGAAGCUAACCAUUAACAAUCUAUUACCAGAAGCUAACUAUUUAAAGUAUUUAUAGCUACCAUUUAUAGUACCUUUCAAUCCACGGUUUUCUGUGUAUUACCAGAAGCUAACCAUUUACAGCCCACAGUCAUUUAAAGUAUUUCCUUACUGCCUGUCUCAUAUUCAUUCAUAAACUCUAGUGAUCCACUUAACUUAAGACUUUUUCCUAAUUAAACCAAAGAGUCCUAAUCAAGACUUUACUUAAGAUAAUUAAACUAAAACCGAAUUCUGAUAUCUACACUCCUUAUCCAUCACUAAUCACUAAUCACUAAUAUGUUAAUUUUAUAUAAUAUAUAUUUAUAUGUAUUACUUUAUUAUUAUAUAUAUGUUAUAAAAAAUAAGAUAAUAAUUACAAAUAAAGUUAUUAAAAUAUAAUCAUAUAAAUAAAGUUAAUAAAGUUACUAAUAAAGGUUAUAAUUACUAAUAAACUAUUAUUAGUUUUUGUUUAAUAUAUUAUUGAUUUUUAUACCCUAUUUUUAUGCAAGAAAACAUAUUUAUAUUUUUAAUAUUAUAAAAUUCAGUGUGUAUAUAUUUUAUUUUGUUAAUAUAUUUCCUAUAAAGAUUAAUAAGAUAUAUUAAAAAAAACUUAAUAUAUUUUGAAUAAAAAAUUUAAAGAGUAGUAGGAAAAUUCCGUUGAAAAAUCUAACGGGCUUUUAAAUUUUUUCCCACCUUAAACUUUCCAACGGAUUUUCAACAAAUUAUUUUCCGUUGGAAACUUCCAACGGAAAUCUGUUGGAAAUUCCGUUGAAACUUUCGGAGGUAAUAAAUUUUUUUGGCAAAAAAUAUUUCAGAUGGAUUUCCAACAUAAUUUAUCCGUUGGAAUUAUUCCGUUGGAAAUUUGUUAGAGAUCCGUUGUUAAAGGUCAUAUAGAAAUUCAAUUUAAAAUUUCCAAUGAAUUUUUUUUCCGUCGGAAAAACUUAAUUUUCUUGUAGUGACAUAAGUAGCUAACAUUUAUUCAUAUUCUUUUGUUUCUUUCAAACGUUUCUAUUUUAUUGAAUGAAGAUAUAUAGCUUGCAAAGCUUCACAAUCAAAGAUAUUGAACUGUAAUAGAAAAUACAAUCACCUUGAAAAUGCCUAAAGACAUGAAGAAGAAAAAAACAAAACAAGCCGUAGGAAAUGACGCUGGAAACAUGAAGAAGAUAAAAGGCAAUACAAGCCUCGAGAGGUAAUGCCUGGAAACAGAAAAAUAAAGGGUAAAAGGAGUUCGUAUGGAAGACAUUAAUUCAUAUUCUCUCCAAUAAAAAAGUAAUCCAAUAUGCCAAAUGCUUCAUUCUUGUAUGAAAGAUAGGAUUCUUACAAGUGUAGGUAGCAAUGAUAUUGUCACGAUAAAAUGUUGGAGGAGCGAAAAUUGUAACCUUAAGCUCCUUUAACAAGGAUUGAAUCCAUGUAACUUUAAAAACAGUAGCAACUAUUGCUCUAUAUUCUGCGUCAGAACAAGAGCGAGCCAUUAUUUACGCCUCCACAGUGA
rnacentral:lncRNA from 1 species